rfam:Fibroporia radiculosa TFFH 294 genomic supercontigs, scaffold1147
GCUUGGGUGGCUCAGUUGGUUAGAGCGCAGGUCUCAUACGAGAGUAUGACAUUCAAAUCUUGGAUGGCCAUCCUGAGGUCAUGAGUUCGACCCUCAUCCCGAGCA